GUCCCCGUAGGCUAAUUGGAUAAACCGCUCGGCUACGAACCGGGUAUUGACAGUUCGAGUCUGUCCGGGGAUA
rnacentral:tRNA from 2 species